AAUACGAGCAGGUUUCUCCAGAAGCCACCACUCUACUUAAACCAGAGGACUGCAAAUCAUUGUGGAUGAAUUUCACAGAAAAGAUAAAGCCUAUGGUGACCGGAGCUAGAUCCCGCCAGGAUGGUCACAGGAAAACUGGAAGCUAUGCAGCUGCUGCUGCAGUAGCUGGGGUCGUGGUGGGGCUGCUGCGGCAGUAGCUGGGGCCGCCGCAGUGUUAAAUGCAGGGGCUGCGACUUUCAUGAGAGUGACGAGGCUGUGACAACAGUAAUAAUGACAAAUCCACACAUGGACAGUUUAUAUUUGUGUGCCCAAUGAUCAAUGCAACAUGUUAUGGUGAAACUGAUGAAAGAAGUUUGUUCGUAAUUUGAUAAGCGGUACUGGUAAAAACAUCAUCAGUUUCUACAAAUGGUAAUCAACAUUAAUGGUAAAAAUAUUUUAACUUU